GUUUUGAGAGUUUUUCCUUACCCAUGGUGGUAGAAACCCUAACUCUUAUGGAGUUUCCCCUUUCACUACACAUCCCAUUUCUUGCAAACGAAUCACUGAUCCAUUAAGUAUUCCCCAGGAACCCUCAUUACCGUCUUUAAGUCGCAGAAUCGUGAAGAGCGGAGCAAUGGAACAGGACCGCCACCCACUAGCGGGGUUUUCAAUAAAGUUGGUGACCUGCAGUUUUGGAUGAUUUUAAGGUGGGUUGUCGCUUUUCCUUUCUCUAGUAGUCUUCCGAUUUGGCUGAAUCUUCGGUAGUGGAAUGGGCGUGGUCGGAGCCUCGUAGAUUGAAGUUCGGCUUUUCUGAGCGACGAUAUGUUGCCAUUUUUUUCUUCAUGGAGGUUUUCUGGUGUGGUAAGUUCCUCUGUAGUCGAAUGGGUGUCGGAUGGAACCUACAGAAUGGAGAUCAUCCCAUUUUGUCCGGCUUGGGGGUCUUGUUUCUGACGGAGUGUUGCACUGUAUCGAUGUUUUUUCCUUGCUGAGAAUGGAGAUCACCACUGUUUUGAUCGGUCUUGGGGCUCUA
rnacentral:lncRNA from 1 species